rnacentral:rRNA from 1 species
GAUGAACGCUGGCGGCGUGCCUAAUACAUGCAAGUCGAGCGAACGGACGAGAAGCUUGCUUCUCUGAUGUUAGCGGCGGACGGGUGAGUAACACGUGGAUAACCUACCUAUAAGACUGGGAUAACUUCGGGAAACCGUAGCUAAUACCGGAUAAUAUUUUGAACCGCAUGGUUCAAAAGUGAAAGACGGUCUUGCUGUCACUUAUAGAUGGAUCCGCGCUGCAUUAGCUAGUUGGUAAGGUAACGGCUUACCAAGGCAACGAUGCAUAGCCGACCUGAGAGGGUGAUCGGCCACACGGGAACUGAGACACGGUCCAGACUCCUACGGGAGGCAGCAGUAGGGAAUCUUCCGCAAUGGGCGAAAGCCUGACGGAGCAACGCCGCGUGAGUGAUGAAGGUCUUCGGAUCGUAAAACUCUGUUAUUAGGGAAGAACAUAUGUGUAAGUAACUGUGCACAUCUUGACGGUACCUAAUCAGAAAGCCACGGCUAACUACGU